rnacentral:lncRNA from 1 species
AAAAAGAGAGAGAGAGUUAUUUUAGUGCACCUUGUGCACGGAUGCACGCGGAGAGGUCUUCUUUGUGGGUUUAUAGAAGGCGAGAGAAAGAUAGGAGAGAUUCAAAAAGAGGGCUAGAGUUGUAGCUACUCUGUUGCAGAAGAGGAGUCAGGUGUAAUCUUCUCUUAUUUAAUGAAUCUUAUUUUACCCGCAUAUUUUCUGUUUUGUUUUUUUUUUCUCUCUUUUAUGAUUGUAUCAGCUUUUGCUGAGGAGACGGAUUUAUGGUAAAAAUUGGUAAAAAUUCGAUUUGGCGCUUCCGUUGCGGAAUCCCAAUAAUCGAUACCGGAUCCACAGCAGUCGGUAUCGGAGCGGAUUGCGGAUUCACGAGAUCCGGUACC